AACGAACGCUGGCGGCAGGCUUAACACAUGCAAGUCGAACGAAGUCUUUGGACUUAGUGGCGCACGGGUGAGUAACACGUGGGAAUAUACCUCUUGGUGGGGAAUAACAUCGGGAAACUGAUGCUAAUACCGCAUACGCCCUUCGGGGGAAAGAUUUAUCGCCGAGAGAUUAGCCCGCGUCCGAUUAGCUAGUUGGUGAGGUAAUGGCUCACCAAGGCGACGAUCGGUAGCUGGCCUGAGAGGAUGAUCAGCCACACUGGGACUGAGACACGGCCCAGACUCCUACGGGAGGCAGCAGUGGGGAAUAUUGGACAAUGGGCGAAAGCCUGAUCCAGCCAUGCCGCGUGAGUGAUGAAGGCCUUAGGGUUGUAAAGCUCUUUCACCCACGACGAUGAUGACGGUAGUGGGAGAAGAAGCCCCGGCUAACUUCGUGCCAGCCGCCGCAGUAACAC
rnacentral:rRNA from 1 species